GACGAAGGUGGCUAGCGUUGCUCGGAAUUACUGGGCAUAAAGCGCGCGUAGGUGGUCCUGUAAGCGGGGGAUGAAAGCCCAUGGCUCACCCAUGGAACUGUCCUUCGGACUGCAGGGCUGGAGGGCGGGAGGGGAGAAUGGAAUUCCCGGUGUAGCGGUGAAAUGCGUAGAUAUCGGGAGGAACGCCGGUGGCGAAAGCGAUUCUCUGGCCCGUUCCUGACACUGAGGCGCGAAAGCUAGGGGAGCAAACAGG
rnacentral:rRNA from 1 species